rnacentral:rRNA from 1 species
UACGUAGGGUGCAAGCGUUGUCCGGAAUUAUUGGGCGUAAAGAGCUCGUAGGCGGUUUGUCGCGUCUGCUGUGAAAACUCGGGGCUUAACCCCGGGCCUGCAGUGGGUACGGGCAGACUAGAGUGCGGUAGGGGAGACUGGAAUUCCUGGUGUAGCGGUGAAAUGCGCAGAUAUCAGGAGGAACACCGGUGGUGCAGACGGCUCUCUGGACCGUAACUGACGCUGAGACACGAAAGCGUGGGUAGCGAACAGG